CCUACGGGUGGCAGCAGUGGGGAAUAUUGGACAAUGGGCGAAAGCCUGAUCCAGCCAUGCCGCGUGUGUGAAGAAGGCCUUCGGGUUGUAAAGCACUUUCAGUGGGGAAGAAAGCCUUGGGGCUAAUACCCUCGAGGAAGGACAUCACCCACAGAAGAAGCACCGGCUAACUCCGUGCCACGCAGCCGCGGUAAUACGGAGGGUGCGAGCGUUAAUCGGAAUUACUGGGCGUAAAGCGCGCGUAGGCGGUCUGAUAAGCCGGUUGUGAAAGCCCCGGGCUCAACCUGGGAACGGCAUCCGGAACUGUCAGGGUAGAGGGCAGGAGAGGAAGGUAGAAUUCCCGGUGUAGCGGUGAAAUGCGUAGAGAUCGGGAGGAAUACCAGUGGCGAAGGCGGCCUUCUGGACUGACACUGACGCUGAGGUGCGAAAGCGUGGGUAGCAAACAGGAUUAGAUACCCGAGUAGUC
rnacentral:rRNA from 1 species